AUUGAACGCUGGCGGCAGGCCUAACACAUGCAAGUCGAACGAGUGGCGGACGGGUGAGUAAUGUCUGGGAAACUGCCUGAUGGAGGGGGAUAACUACUGGAAACGGUAGCUAAUACCGCAUACCAUCGGAUGUGCCCAGAUGGGAUUAGCUUGUUGGUGGGGUAACGGCUCACCAAGGCGACGAUCCCUAGCUGGUCUGAGAGGAUGACCAGCCACACUGGAACUGAUACACGGUCCAGACACCUACGGGAGGCAGCAGUGGGGAAUAUUGCACAAUGGGCGAAAGCCUGAGGCAGCCAUGCCGAGUGUAUGAAGAAGGCCUUCGGGUUGUAAAGUACUUUCAGUGGGGAGGCGGUACCAGCAGAAGAAGCACCGGAUAACUCCGUGCCAGCAGCCGCGGUAAGUC
rnacentral:rRNA from 1 species